rnacentral:rRNA from 1 species
GACGUAGGGAGCGAGCGUUGUCCGGAAUUAUUGGGCGUAAAGAGCUCGUAGGCGGUUUGUCGCGUCUGCUGUGAAAUCCCGAGGCUCAACCUCGGGCUUGCAGUGGGUACGGGCAGACUAGAGUGCGGUAGGGGAGACUGGAAUUCCUGGUGUAGCGGUGGAAUGCGCAGAUAUCAGGAGGAACACCGAUGGCGAAGGCAGGUCUCUGGGCCGCAACUGACGCUGAGGAGCGAAAGCAUGGGGAGCGAACAGG